AGAAAGUCACAAGAUCUUAUUAAAACAAAAAAUUAUACUAUAUAUCUUAAAGUAUUUUUACACAACAUUUUAGUAGGCAAGUGAGCAUUUUUUAUAUUAUUUAGACGUUAUGAUAGAAUUUUCAUACCUUAUUACCAUUUACCACCACAAAUAUUUGUUACACAUUAGGGACAUAUUUGAUACAUUACUUGAUUUAGCAUAAGCCCUCAUUUAUAACAAACCCUACAUCUAAGAUGUUUAUUCUCUAAACCCAUUUGUUGCGCCUCUUGUGUCUUUUAUCAUCCUCAUCCUUUAUUUUAUUUUUUUCUCACUGGUUUCUUCUUGGUUUGAAUGGUCGCGGUCAACGGCCGAUCAUAGUUGGAAUUGGCCAAGAUUACACAGAACCAACGAUGUUAUGAUUUGUUCAUAAUAUGGUUACAAUUUUGAAGUGAUCGUACUCGAUCUUGCUGCAAUACACAAGUCUGCUUAAGACCUGGAUUGUUCGGGUCAGUGGGAUUGCAGAGCCAUAAGAUUUUAAGAUCUAGAUCGAAAUCUUGACAAACAAGACUCGAUGUACUGCCAUAUCACAUGAAUGAAGUAUUUGUGGAAUAUACAAAACUAUUUUAAGAGCAGCAGACUCACCUGUCCAUGCAGACCCCAGCCAAAAGUAAGAAGAGCUCCAGCAUCUACAAAAGCCAUUUAAAACACAAGACUGCAUAUUAUGACAGCAGUCAAAUUCUGACCUGUUAUCACAACGCUAUGCCGACCUCCGCAUGCUAUUUCUACGACAUAACUCCCAGGACUUUGAACUCCAGCACUGCCCCCUUGGUGAAAAGAUGGCCUAUCCUUCCCAGAAUGAG